rnacentral:ncRNA from 2 species
UACAGAGGGUGCGAGCGUUAAUCGGAAUUACUGGGCGUAAAGGGCGCGUAGGCGGUUAUAUAAGUUAGAUGUGAAAUCCCUGGGCUUAACCUAGGAACUGCAUCUAAGACUGUAUGACUAGAGUGCAGUAGAGGAUAGUGGAAUUUCCGGUGUAGCGGUGAAAUGCGUAGAUAUCGGAAGGAACACCAGUGGCGAAGGCGGCUAUCUGGACUGACACUGACGCUGAGGCGCGAAAGCGUGGGUAGCAAACAGG